UUUGUGCGUGGAUCUGAGGCC
rnacentral:miRNA from 2 species